CUUUACAGGAGAAAGAGAGAGUUCCCUGCAACAGCCUGCAUGAAUUUGUGAGAACUGCGCAAACUCACACACAGCUACAGACAGCUCCAUGCCAUUGGAUGUGUAGUCCAAGGUGGCUGACAAGCUCAUCCUUUCUUCAGUAUGGUUGAUAUUAACUGCACACCUCAGGGAUUCACAUCAUUGCCAAGAUUGUGGGGGGAGAGCAGGGCACAAAUGAAUGAAGGGUGAAGAGGAACAUGGAUAUAUCAUGUAUUUAAGCAUGUCCAAGUAGAAUGUA